AUGAUUAUUGAAAAGCAUGAGGAUCGCUGUUUCAAGAGCUGCAGUGCUCAUUCAUAUAUAAGAAAGAAUUGGCUUGGAUCCAUUGUCUUCCCUUUCUCUGCUCUCCUACAACAAUCUGAGUUUUCAGAUCAAAUAGACAUUUUGGAGAGAGCACGGAUUUUUACAAAAGCUUGUAAGGCAUUAUUUCCUAAACGAAGAAUCACCACUACUGUUUUUAAUGAUGAAGGGAUACAGAUCUUAGUGAUAAGAUACAUCAAGGCAUUGAAUCCACCUCAACAACUCCUGGAUAUGUUUCUUCAUGAUUCUAAUGCAAGACUUGACCUUGUUGCUCACUUUGUAUCUUUGAUUCCCAUUAUGCCUGAUGCACUGGAUGAAAAUGAUGGUUUUGAUAUAUGGAUGACAUCAGAGGGGCCCGUGGCGUAUGUAUUAACUCAGGAAACUGAUGAAUAUUUGCUUUGGAAUCCAUUAACUGGACAGUGUCAUAAGCAGUUUGACCCAUUUUGUCCGUUACAAGGUGUAGAUUGUUUGUUUGAUGGUGAAAACGUCUGGUUUAAUCUUCAGCAGAAUAAUUCACCAAUGGCUGUGUAUUUUGACUAUUCAAAGGAAAGUUUCUGGAAACAGUUGCUUCCAAAAAAUUAUCAAGGAACAAAAACACAAAGCAUUCAGCCUGAAGAAAUAAUUUAUUCUGAUACUAAUAAGAGCAUGGUAGAAGAUCUAAAGAACAGGAUUGAAAGAACUCUGAAGUGUAAAAUAAUGGAAUGGCGGCCUAAACAGCCAACACGUUGGAAUAGACAGUGUACUUUCAUUUUACGACAGAUUCUUCCUAAGUUAGAACUUGGUACUGGAAGCUUUGUUUCAUCUGAAGAAGAGAGUGAAUUUGAAAGACUACUACAAUUUUAUUGGGUCACAGGAUUUCCUAUCCAGAUGCCAUACACUGAUGUACAGUCAGUUAUUGAUGCUGUGUAUCAAACUGGAAUUCAUUCUUCUGAAUUUCCACAGACAGAAUUUGCUCUAGCUGUGUACAUUCACCCCUACCCAAACAACAUAUUAUCUGUGUGGGUCUAUUUGGCUUCAUUAGCUCGACAUCAGUGA
rnacentral:lncRNA from 1 species